UCCGAGUAGGGUGGAAUCAGAGGGCUUCGGUACGCCAGAUCUUAUAAUGAGGUACUAGCGAGAGGUAUCGGUAUGAGCUACCUCCUUGAUA
rnacentral:pre_miRNA from 1 species